UACGUAGGUGGCAAGCGUUGUCCGGAUUUACUGGGCGUAAAGGAUGCGUAGGCGGACAUUUAAGUCAGAUGUGAAAGUCCUGGGCUUAACCUGGGGACUGCAUUUGAUACUGAUUGGCUUGAAUUCGGGAGAGGAUAGCGGAAUUCCCAGUGUAGAGGUGAAAUUCGUAGAUAUUGGGAAGAACACCGGUGGCGAAGGCGGCUAUCUGGACCGACAUUGACGCUGAGGCGCGAAAGCGUGGGGAGCAAACAGG
rnacentral:rRNA from 1 species